UACGUAGGGUGCAAGCGUUGUCCGGAAUUAUUGGGCGUAAAGAGCUCGUAGGCGGUUCGUCGCGUCGGCUGUGAAAUCCCGAGGCUCAACCUCGGGUCUGCAGUCGAUACGGGCGGACUGGAGUUCGGCAGGGGAGACUGGAAUUCCUGGUGUAGCGGUGAAAUGCGCAGAUAUCAGGAGGAACACCUGAGGUGAAGACGGGUUGCUGGGCUGACACUGACGCUGAGGCGCGAAAGCCAGGGGAGCAAACGGG
rnacentral:rRNA from 1 species